AUGCUUUCUGGCUGUUUCCUAAUUUUGAUAUCCGGGUCAUCGUCAGAAACCGUUUUCGGAGGUGUUCAAAGGGAAGAUGCCGGAGAAUCCUCAGAAAGGUGUUUCCAUGGUGCUGAAGGAGUGGAACAGCACUUGCCUCCAAGACUCUAUCCAGAGCCAUCCAUCAUCUCCCCUGACCUGUAGGGAGAAGGUCGUCAAAACCUGAGCCCUGAGGGCACUAAAGGAACCCAUUGCUGCCUGGCAAGGGAAACAAAGGAAGAAGAAAUACAACCGUGUGUGGGGGGUGUCAGAGAUAUACUCUAGGCCCAGGUUCACAUCUGAAGGAGGAGUCAGAACACUGUGAAGACCCAACGCCCUUGGAACCCACAUUUAUGGUAACUUCCUAAGCCUGAGGCCCAACAGAACGUCAGAAAAUUUCCCCCAUCCCAAGUCCCAAAACCACACUAACAAGUAUCAAAUCAUCAAAUCAAAAUAAUAAUGGAAUACACCUGGAGAGAAAUGUACAGAACAGAUUCUCUCUCAGCAGCAGUGCAAAGAUAAGACAAAACCUAACUGCAGAGACAAAAUCAAGGUGUACACACACACACACAUGCAAGUUCCUACAACAUAUCCAUACAAGUUCCUUUACAACAUAUCCAACUUUCAGCAAAACACUAUGAGGUAUAAAAAAGUCAAGAAUAAAUGUAAUCUUAAAAACA
rnacentral:lncRNA from 1 species